rnacentral:lncRNA from 1 species
CCUUGUCCCUGAAAUCCUGAAAUUUGCCUGAACAGAACAAAUUAAUUUAUUUUCAAAAAUUACUUUUCCUUGUAUCUAUGAUAGAGUUUAACAUGUAACAUAGGUUUUACCAUUUAUUUUAAUCUGUGUACUUACGGUUGCUUCUUACCUAGGUGGCCCUAGUGAAUAUCGCCCAUCAUGUUAUUACUGUUAAUUGGGAGAGAGGUUGAAGAAAGCUGCUGAAUUUAAGAAUGUCUUAUGGAAAUAUAAUAGCCUUGUCUUGGCCAUGCUACAGGGAACUAAUGUCAGAUGUUCACAUUUCAACUGGAACUCAACAGGAGGAGAAAAGUAUCUCUAAUACGGCAGAAGAGAGACACUGAUCUCUAGAAACAAAGUCCCCAGGGAAAGUCAAAUCUCUGAUCUGGUCAAGCUGCGCUUACAAAGGAGGAGCUCUGCUUUUCAUUUCUAGUAUGCCAAAACCUUGGUUUGAUUUGAAGAGAAAAAGUGGUUGCCUUUCUAUCAUUCCUUCUAAAUUGUCUUCAAUGGCUUCUCCUCCAAUGUCCCGGAAUGUUGGGCUCUGAGACACUGGAUUAGGAGCAAGGCGCCUCAAACAGACACUUCCUUCUCUCUCUGGGCACCGUCAGAACCUCCAGAUAAGCUGGCAACUGCAAAUGAAUUUCAAGCAUUUGGCAAAGUGAGAUUGAACAUCACCUCACUCUGGUUUGCCACUGAAGCCUUAAUAUUACGGUAUACUUUUUUAAAAUUGUAUUUUUCUGUAUUCUGUAUAUAGAAACAUUUUCUAUCUG